rnacentral:rRNA from 1 species
CCAGACUCCUACGGGAGGCAGCAGUGAGGAAUAUUGGUCAAUGGCCGGAAGGCUGAACCAGCCAUGCCGCGUGAAGGUCAGUGCCCUAUGGGCGUUAAACUUCUUUUGUGCGGGAGCAAUAAUGGUCACGUGUGGCCAGACGAGAGUACCGUACGAAUAAGCAUCGGCUAACUCCGUGCCAGCAGCCGCGGUAAUACGGAGGAUGCGAGCGUUAUCCGGAUUUAUUGGGUUUAAAGGGUGCGCAGGCGGCGAUUUAAGUCGGCGGUAAAUUUUCGGGGCUCAACCCCGACAAGCCGUUGAAACUGGCUUGCUAGAGUGGGCGAGAAGUAUGCGGAAUGCGUGGUGUAGCGGUGAAAUGCAUAGAUAUCACGCAGAACUCCGAUUGCGAAGGCAGCAUACCGGCGCCCAACUGACGCUCAGGCACGAAAGCGUGGGUAUCGAACAGGAUUAGAUACCCGGGUACG